CGUGAGAAUCUGGCUUUAGGACGGGGAUAACCACUGGAAACGGUGGCUAAGACCCGAUAUGCCGAGAGGUGAAAGUAAAUUAGCCUAGAGGGGAGCUCGCGUCUGAUUAGCUAGUUGGUGGGGUAAGAGCCUACCAAGGCGACGAUCAGUAGCUGGUCUGAGAGGAUGAUCAGCCACACUGGGACUGAGACACGGCCCAGACUCCUACGGGAGGCAGCAGUGGGGAAUUUUCCGCAAUGGGCGAAAGCCUGACGGAGCAAUACCGCGUGGGGGAGGAAGGCUCUUGGGUUGUAAACUCCUUUUCUCAGGGAAGAACACAAUGACGGUACCUGAGGAAUCAGCAUCGGCUAACUCCGUGCCAGCAGCCGCGGUAAUACGGAGGAUGCAAGCGUUAUCCGGAAUCAUUGGGCGUAAAGCGUCCGCAGGUGGCAAUUCAAGUCUGCUGUCAAAGGUCGGGGCUUAACUCCGAACAGGCAGUGGAAACUGAAUAGCUAGAGUGCGGUAGGGGCAGAGGGAAUUCCUGGUGUAGCGGUGAAAUGCGUAGAGAUCAGGAAGAACACCGGUGGCGAAAGCGCUCUGCUAGGCCGCAACUGACACUCAGGGACGAAAGCUAGGGGAGCGAAUGGGAUUAGA
rnacentral:rRNA from 1 species